GGAUAUAGCUCAGUUGGUGGAGCGCUUGCCUUGCAUGCACAUGGCCCUGGGUUUGAUCCCUAGCACCA
rnacentral:tRNA from 1 species